AACGAACGCUGGCGGCAGGCUUAACACAUGCAAGUCGAGCGCCCCACAAGGGGAGCGGCAGACGGGUGAGUAACGCGUGGGAAUCUACCCAUCUCUACGGAAUAACGCAUGGAAACGUGUGCUAAUACCGUAUACGUCCUUCGGGAGAAAGAUUUAUCGGAGAAGGAUGAGCCCGCGUUGGAUUAGCUAGUUGGUGGGGUAAAGGCCUACCAAGGCGACGAUCCAUAGCUGGUCUGAGAGGAUGAUCAGCCACACUGGGACUGAGACACGGCCCAGACUCCUACGGGAGGCAGCAGUGGGGAAUAUUGGACAAUGGGCGCAAGCUUGAUCCAGCCAUGCCGCGUGAGUGAUGAAGGCCCUAGGGUUGUAAAGCUCUUUCACCGGUGAAGAUAAUGACGGUAACCGGAGAAGAAGCCCCGGCUAACUUCGUGCCAGCCGCCGCCGUAACAC
rnacentral:rRNA from 1 species